rnacentral:tRNA from 1 species
GCCAUCUUAGCUCAGCUGGUAGAGCAACGCAUUCGUAAUGCGUAGGUCAGCGGUUCGAUUCCGCUAGAUGGCU